rfam:Oryza glumipatula chromosome 12, whole genome shotgun sequence.
UUUAAGCGCAAUCAUGGAUUUCCAUGUCCAACUUUGAUUAUCCGUCGUAUUAUUUUUUUUAUGAUUAGUAUUUUUAUUGUUAUUAGAUGAUAAAACAUAAAUAGUAUUUAUGUUUUUUUUAUUUUUUUAAAUAAGACACUAUUAAAGUUGGAAACGAAAACUCAUGACUACGCUUAAA